rnacentral:rRNA from 1 species
GAGUUAACGUAGCAAUACGUGGCAUACGGCUCAGUAACACGUAGUCAACAUGCCCAGGGGACGUGGAUAACCUCGGGAAACUGAGGCUAAACCGCGAUAGGCCAAGAUUUCUGGAAUGGAUCAUGGCCUAAAUCUAUAUGGCCCCUGGAUUGGACUGCGGCCGAUCAGGCUGUUGGUGAGGUAAUGGCCCACCAAACCUGUAACCGGUACGGGCUCUGAGAGGAGGAGCCCGGAGAUGGGCACUUAGACAAGGGCCCAGGCCCUAUGGGGCGCAGCAGGCGCGAAACCUCUGCAAUAAGCGAAAGCUUGACAGGGUUACUCUGAGUGAUUUCCGCUAAGGAAGUCUUUUGGCACCUCUAAAAAUGGUGCAGAAUAAGGGGUGGGCAAGUCUGGUGUCAGCCGCCGCGGUAAUACCAGCACCCCGAGUGGUCGGGACGAUUAUUGGGCCUAAAGCAUCCGUAGCCGGUCCUGCAAGUCCUCCGUUAAAUCCACCCGCUCAACGGUUGGGCCGCGGGGGAUACUACAGGGCUAGGAGGCGGGAGAGGCAAGCGGUACUCGAUGGGUAGGGGUAAAAUCCACUGAUCCAUUGAAGACCACCAGUGGCGAAGGCGGCCUGCCAGAACGCGCUCGACGGUGAGGGAUGAAAGCUGGGGGAGCAAACCGGAUUAGAUACCCGGGUAGUCCCAGCUGUAAACGAUGCAGACUCGGUGAUGGGCUGGCUUCUUGCCAACCCGGUGCCGCAGGGAAGCCGUUGAGUCUGCCGCCUGGGGAAUACGGUCGCAAGACUGAAACUUAAAGGAAUU